rnacentral:tRNA from 2 species
GCGUCUGUAGCUCAGCUGGAUAGAGUGCCGCCCUCCGGAGGCGAAGGUCUGGGGUUCGAAUCCCCACAGACGCGCCA